CUUAAGCUAAUCCCAUUUUUGGAACUCCAUCCAAAAUUCAAGUAGAAAAAAAAAUCACUUCGAUUGAUAGAGUUUAUGCAACAAUGCUAGUGGUUCCCAAUUCAACAGCUUUUAAAAGCCCGUGGUGGGAUAAGUGUAAACUGGAAGCAAGUGGAACAACAGUGGAACAAUGGGUGAAGCAAGCGAAGUCACAAGAUGCUAAUGAGUACUGGACCCUAUUAGCACACAGUUCCUUUAGUUAGUUUUAGGGAUAUGGGUUUCUCAGUGUGAUUAGUCUGGAACUCGUUGGCUGUGAUAAUAAUAUAAUUGCAUUCAUGAAGCCCGAUAACUUCCCUGUAUUGGAAUUUCCGUUUCUAGUUAACUCCAAUAUUGUUACUCUCCCAGAAAGCAUUAGUAGCUCCCCUAGAUUAGAACUUCUUGACAUUGACAACUGCAAGCAGCAUCGAGAAAUUCCAAGGCUUCCACAAUUAAUGGGAAUGGUGGAUGCAAGGAAUUGCGUAGGGUUGGAUCCAAAAACAACAAGCACAUUAUUGAAUCAGUAACUGGUGUUGGCAGAGGACAUGGUGAUACCAUGUUCAACAUGUGAUCAAGACGCUCUGGUCCAGGGUUGAGGUGGCCCACAAGUCCCACAUCAGCUCUUCUCCCACAUUAUGGCUUGAGCCUGAAGUCUCCAAUUGGAAAGCUAGAAGAUGGAAAGAGUCACUGUUAUUGUCAGCCCCUUCCUCCAGGUUCUCCUACUAGCCCUUCUGCCUUGCCCAACACAAGAACAGAGGAAGGGUGACUUUGGGGCUUGUAUACCUUGGAUUUAAGGUAAUGAAGUUACAAUAAAUGUUUGGAUUAUCUGGGGGAAAGUUUUAGUAUUGCAUAUUGUCGUAUAGACUAAAAGUUCCUUGAUUGGUUUUUUUUUUUUUUUUUUCCACAGAUAAGCCUAAUUUUAUUAUGGUAACUGCAUACAUGUGCCAGAUGGUAUGGUGCGUUUAGUAUGUCUACAGGGUAAAAAAGCCAAGGUGUUAUUACAAAUGUUAAAAAAUAAAAUAAAAUAUAAAUGAAACCAUGUCUCCAGAUAAAGAAAAGAAGAUUGAUGAACAACUGCUUUGCAAUCAGUAUUAGACACAUGAAGUGUACCCGGUGUGAGUGGUCCACAUGAUGGACAUGAAAAUAAACUCAGCAGCAAUGUGAUGAAGUAAAAACUCAAGAAUAGUGUAGCAAGAGUAGCAUUUUUUCUAUUUUGUUAAUUUGCUAAUUGUUAUAUUUGCAUCUAUAACAGUGGAAGUGAGCCAAUGUGUGCAAUUAAAGAAGUCAGAGUUGUUUUUGAUGAUCAGAUAUCAAAGCAACUGAAACCGGUAUUUUUUCAUCCGACAGUAUAUAAGUUUUUAGCAGAAUCUAGAGACAUCACAGGCCACAGAGCCCACGCGCCACCAUUGCCUCAGUGUUUGGUUGACCCAAGACUACCUUAGCCUCUACACUCUUGUUUUGCUAAGUCACGCGCCGUCUAGUGCCAUCAUAGGUGGUAAUUCAGAAGUGGGUUUUGAGGUUGAGAGUAAGAGAGUAGAAAAUUAGAGAUAGGUGUUGUUUUGGCUCGGAUUUAAAGGGAUCGAGAUGUGGAACCACCGUCUGUGGUGGUGAUGAGGAUCAGAGAUAGUGGAAGCUUGGGCUUCAGCCAUGGGAGCUUCAGAGGUUAAAGACAGAGCUCGUGUUUAGAGUGAGAGAGAGGGCUCGGUGAGAUUUAUUGCGGUGGCAUUGAUGUUCAAAGUGGGAGCUUGAAGGGUCGGCCAUGAAGGUCCGAUGGAGGCUCGGCCUAAGGGUUUCAGUGAUUAGGGAGAGCAGAGAUCGAAGAUAGAGAGGGCUCGGGUUUGGUGAGGAGGAGCUCGCUGCCGUGGGGAAGCUUCAAGCUUAACCACGGGUUUGGUCUCUUGGACCAGGUUUAAGGCUUCAGCCCUUUUAUUCUAAUUGGGUUCAUAGCUCUUUCACUAAAGUUAAACCCCAAUUCGACCCAGGCCUCCACACUUUAAUUUUGAACCCACAUGCACAUCAAACUUUCAGCCCACUUUGGUUUUAAACCAAUAUCUUGUUUUAAACAUAUUCAGCCCACCUUUUAAAUAAAAUGCCAUCUUUUCUUUAUUUGCUAUUAUGUAUUUUUGUUACAUUCUUUUUAAUCCCUUUUCCCAUAUUUACAUAUUCACAUAUUUUCGCUAUGUUUGCAUUUUAAUUCAUUUCAUCUUGUUUGCAUCUAAUUUGUUUUUUCCCAUAUUUGCAUAUUAAUUCAUAAAUUCCCAAAAUCAUAUUUUAAUACCAAAAUUCCCAAAAAUCAUGUUUUGACCCCAGUCUUCCUCAAAAAUUGCUUUUUGACCCGGAACUUUUCAAUAUUCAUAUUUUGACCCCGGUUUUUCCAUAAAAUUACAUCUUGACCCCAAGUCUUUUCAAAAUUGCAAUAAAACCCUCAAUCAUUUCAAAAAUCACAAAGAGGCUCCUGAACCCUUUGGAAGUUGUUUGAAGGCAUUCAAACAACUUCCAAGGUCUUUUAAUUAUCUUUAAAUCCACACUUUUUGCUUACCUUCAUUUAGAAUAAUUGAUUUGCACCUUGUGUGAUGUUUGCAUGUCAUGUCUAGGUUUACAUACUCACAUGCUUGCUUCCAUGCUUCUUACCUCAUCUAUGCUUAGAUCUACAUGAUCACAUACUUGAUAUCAUGUCUAUGGUUAUGCCUUACUUAGAUCUACAUGUUUGUAUGCAUGUUCUAUGCUCCUAUGCCUAUGUCUAUGUCUAUGCCUUCAUAUGCUUGUAUGCUUGGAUUUGUGAUCUUCCAUGCUUUUAUGCUUACAUCCACAUACUUAGACCUACAUGCUUGUUUCCUAGCUUCUAUAUUCUUUACAUGUUUUAUGCGAUUUUCCAUGUGCUUGUGUGCUCCAUGCCAUGUUCGUGUGCCUAGACCUAGGUUAUGUUUGUCAUGCCAUGUGCUAUUGUAGCUCUUUUGUUCCUUUUGUCACAUCUUCUUGUGUUUUGGCCUAUCGAUUUGGACCUGAUCUAGACCCUAAGGUCUUUGUCAUCGUCUAUACACCUUGGCCCAUAUCAAAGGGUUUGGAUCACCCCUAUUUGCAUGUCUAUGCUUGCUUGCUUGCUUCUAUGCUUUAUGUUUGUGUUAGCCUCUCUAAUUCUAGGCUUUGUCGUGCUUGACGCCCUCCGCGGGCUUGAUCUUGUUUGGCUACACCCGACGCCCAUGAGGCCUUGUUCGGAUGUAACCAUUUAGGAGGCAUCUCCGGAUGUAGGGUUGCUCCUUGCGUGCCCUUUCAUUUUUCGCUCCGUGCAAUGAUAUGCUUGUUUGUGCCAUUCGUUGGCUUUAUGUGCAUCUUUACACAUUUACUUAUAUGUCCAUACAUGAGUCUUGCUUGCUAGUGUGUCAUUCAUAUAUCAACACAAUGAAGUUAUGGACACCCGAUCCAAACCUACAUUUGUCCCUUGUGGACACCACCUUUUGUUUGCUUUCUUUCUUGUUUGCCCUUUCGCUUGUUUGUUUUCUAGCUUGUUUGCCUUCUCGCUUGUUUGUUUUCUAGCUUGUUUGCCUUCUCGCUUGUUUUCUUGCAUCCUUGUUCCUAUGCUUGCCAUGUCUGUCACAUUUGUCUACUUUAUGCCUUUUCCAUAUGCUCUUUGCACCUUUUUCUUUCCAUUGCUUGUCAGCUGGUUUAUUGUCUUUGCCUUUACAUGUACACACAUGGAGCUAGGGCAUGGUUUCUCAGGCGCAAGCAAAAGGGGCAAGGAUGCAGGCAUGUGGAUUUGAGCCAAGCAGCUACAGUCAGUAGGCUUAGGGUUUAGCUUUUCCCUUUGGUUAUGUACUCUUCUAAACCCCUUCCUUCCUCCUCCCUUUCUCCCCUAGAUGGUUUGUAUUAGGUAUAUCAUGUUAUGUACCAUUUGUCCUCAUCUCUAGAGUAUGGCGACCCAUGUUUACUUUCCUGCACCUAUAUUUUGGGCCAUGCUCUAGGGAUGCAGACAUUUACUUUGCUGCUUUGUGUGCUCGUAUUGUGCAUGAUGUAUGUAUAUAUAUAUACUUGUU